ACUCCAGAUUUUGAACAGCGGUUCAAACCAAGAACUGGCGAAUUGUGCCCGACACAAAAGAAACUGUAUAUUGCCAGUUUGACUCACGCAAUUAUGUUGAAGUAAUCCUUGUUAGCCAUCUGCUGUUCCAUGAGAAGUCGAAGGGAGUGCUGGAUAUGUACGAGACGGUGCCAAAGAUGCGUCUACUGCCGCUGGCAAGCCAAUCAAUUCGACUCUCAUACACGCUCACGGUGGCUGCCAGGUGCUUCUGGUACUCAAACAGCUGCGUCAUGUCCACGUGUACGUUCUUCACUGUCCCAUCAUGCCACUUGAACUGCACCAUGGCCUUCUGUUGACGUGACGAUAACAGAUUGUCAAUACUCCAAAUGCAUGUAUUUUAAACAGAAUGUUAUCAUCUACAUUAUCUUAUUCACAAUGAGUACCUCCUUGAUCUUUAUCACCAUCAUAAACAAAAAAGUAUUUUUGAAUAAAAGAUAUAUAUAUAUA